UACGUAGGGUGCAAGCGUUGUCCGGAAUUAUUGGGCGUAAAGAGCUCGUAGGCGGUCUGUCGCGUCGGAAGUGAAAACCUGGGGCUUAACCCCGGGCCUGCUUUCGAUACGGGCAGACUAGAGUUCGGCAGGGGAGACUGGAAUUCCUGGUGUAGCGGUGAAAUGCGCAGAUAUCAGGAGGAACACCGAUGGCGAAGGCAGGUCUCUGGGCAUUAACUGACGCUGAGGAGCGAAAGCAUGGGGAGCGAACAGG
rnacentral:rRNA from 1 species